UACGGAGGGUGCAAGCGUUAUCCGGAUUCACUGGGUUUAAAGGGUGCGUAGGUGGGUUUGUAAGUCAGUGGUGAAAUCUCCAGGCUUAACCUGGAAACUGCCAUUGAUACUAUAGAUCUUGAAUUUUCUGGAGGUAAGCGGAAUAUGUCAUGUAGCGGUGAAAUGCUUAGAUAUGACAUAGAACACCAAUUGCGAAGGCAGCUUGCUACAGGGAUAUUGACACUGAGGCACGAAAGCGUGGGGAUCAAACAGG
rnacentral:rRNA from 1 species